CGAGGGGGGCAAGCGUUGUUCGGAAUUAUUGGGCGUAAAGGGUGCGUAGGCGGUUUGGUAAGUCUGAUGUGAAAUCUAUGGGCUCAACUCAUAGUCUGCAUCGGAAACUGCCGGGCUUGAGUGUGGGAGAGGUGAGUGGAAUUCCUGGUGUAGCGGUGAAAUGCGUAGAUAUCAGGAGGAACACCUGUGGCGAAAGCGGCUCACUGGACCAUAACUGACGCUGAUGCACGAAAGCUAGGGGAGCAAACAGG
rnacentral:rRNA from 1 species